ACUCGAGUGGCGAACGGGUGAGUAACACGUGGGUGAUCUGCCUUGCACUUCGGGAUAAGCUUGGGAAACUGGGUCUAAUACCGGAUAGGACAGCUGUUUAGUGUCAGUUGUGGAAAGUUUUUUCGGUGCAAGAUGAGCUCGCGGCCUAUCAGCUUGUUGGUGGGGUAAUGGCCUACCAAGGCGUCGACGGGUAGCCGGCCUGAGAGGGUGUACGGCCACAUUGGGACUGAGAUACGGCCCAGACUCCUACGGGAGGCAGCAGUGGGGAAUAUUGCACAAUGGGCGGAAGCCUGAUGCAGCGACGCCGCGUGGGGGAUGAAGGCCUUCGGGUUGUAAACUCCUUUCGACAGGGACGAAGCGUAAGUGACGGUACCUGUAUAAGAAGCACCGGCUAACUACGUGCCAGCAGCCGCGGUAAUACGUAGGGUGCGAGCGUUGUCCGGAAUUACUGGGCGUAAAGAGCUCGUAGGUGGUUUGUCGCGUCGUCUGUGAAAUUCCGGGGCUUAACUCCGGGCGUGCAGGCGAUACGGGCUGACUUGAGUGCUGUAGGGGAGACUGGAAUUCCUGGUGUAGCGGUGAAAUGCGCAGAUAUCAGGAGGAACACCGAUGGCGAAGGCAGGUCUCUGGGCAGUAACUGACGCUGAGGAGCGAAAGCAUGGGUAGCGAACAGGAUUAGAUACCCUGGUAGUCCAUGCCGUAAACGGGUGGGCGCUGGGGUGUAGGGGGCUUCCACGUCUUCUGUGCCGUAGCUAACGCAUAAGCGCCCCGCCUGGGGAGUACGCCGCAAGGCUA
rnacentral:rRNA from 1 species